rfam:Oryza glaberrima chromosome 10 Oglab10_0085_6, whole genome shotgun sequence.
AACAACACUAUCAAUGAAUGGAUUCACGUUGUUGUUUUACAUAGGACGAGGAUAUGACAUCCUAUUACCAGCCAUCGCACGAAAUUAAUAGGAUAUGCCACGUCAUCAUCCUAGAUGGAACAACCACGUCAUCUCACUAGUGAAUCCAUUCAUCGAUAGUGUGGUU